UGGGGAAUAUUGGACAAUGGGCGAAAGCCUGAUCCAGCCAUGCCGCGUGUGUGAAGAAGGUCUUCGGAUUGUAAAGCACUUUAAGUUGGGAGGAAGGGCAGUUACCUAAUACGUGAUUGUUUUGACGUUACCGACAGAAUAAGCACCGGCUAACUCUGUGCCAGCAGCCGCGGUAAUACAGAGGGUGCAAGCGUUAAUCGGAAUUACUGGGCGUAAAGCGCGCGUAGGUGGUUUGUUAAGUUGGAUGUGAAAUCCCCGGGCUCAACCUGGGAACUGCAUUCAAAACUGACUGACUAGAGUAUGGUAGAGGGUGGUGGAAUUUCCUGUGUAGCGGUGAAAUGCGUAGAUAUAGGAAGGAACACCAGUGGCGAAGGCGACCACCUGGACUAAUACUGACACUGGGGUGCGAAAGCGUGGGGAGCAAACA
rnacentral:rRNA from 1 species